AUCACUGCUAUUGGAAUUCGGUUAAGGCAUGCGAGUCGAGAGGGUACGGCCCUCGGCAAACGGCUCAGUAACACGUGGACAAUCUGCCCUUAGGUGGGGGAUAAUCUCGAGAAAUUGAGCAUAAUACCCCAUAUCUCUAGAAUGCUGGAAUGCUUCUAAAGAAAAAGCCCCGGCGCCUAAGGAUGAGUCUGCGGCCUAUCAGGUUGUAGUGAGUGUAACGGACUCACUAGCCGACGACGGGUACGGGUCCUGAGAGGGAGAGCCCGGAGAUGGACUCUGAGACACGAGUCCAGGCCCUACGGGGCGCAGCAGCUACGAAAACUUCACAAUGCGGGAAACCGUGAUGAGGGGAUUCCAAGUGCUAAUACUUUGUAUUAGCUGUUUACUUGCCUAAAAAGCAGGUAGAGUAAGAGCUGGGUAAGACUGGUGCCAGCCGCCGCGGUAAUACCAGCAGCUCGAGUGGUGAUCGCUAUUAUUGGGCCUAAAGCGUCCGUAGCCGGCUUGGUAAACCCUUGGGUAAAUCGGGCAGCUUAACUGUCCGACUUCUGAGGAGACUGCCAGGCUUGGGACCGGGAGAGGUCAGAGGUACUUCUAGGGUAGAGGUGAAAUUCUGUAAUCCUAGGAGGACCACCAGUGGCGAAGGCGUCUGACUAGAACGGGUCCGACGGUAAGGGACGAAACCCUGGGGCGCGAACCGGAUUAGAUACCCGGGUAGUCCAGGGCGUAAACGCUGCGGGCUUGGUGUUGGGGGUCCUACGAGGGCGUCCAGUGCCGGAGAGAAGUUGUUAAGCCCGCCGCCUGGGGAGUACGGUCGCAAGACUGAAACUUAAAGGAAUUGGCGGGGGAGCACAGCAACGGGUGGAGCGUGCGGUUUAAUUGGAUUCAACGCCGGG
rnacentral:rRNA from 1 species